UUCCCCGAAGUGAGUUAUGUACCU
rnacentral:siRNA from 1 species